rnacentral:rRNA from 1 species
AAAACUUUCAACAACGGAUCUCUUGGUUCCCGCAUCGAUGAAGAACGCAGCGAAAUGCGAAAAUUAAUGUGAAUUGCAGAAUUCCGUGAAUCAUCGAGUCUUUGAACGCACAUUGCGCCCUUUGGUAUUC